rnacentral:rRNA from 1 species
AGUGAACGCUGGCGGUAGGCCUAACACAUGCAAGUCGAACGGCAGCACAGUAAGAGCUUGCUCUUACGGGUGGCGAGUGGCGGACGGGUGAGGAAUACAUCGGAAUCUACUUUUUCGUGGGGGAUAAUGUAGGGAAACUUACGCUAAUACCGCAUACGACCUACGGGUGAAAGCAGGGGAUCUUCGGACCUUGCGCGAUUGAAUGAGCCGAUGUCGGAUUAGCUAGUUGGCGGGGUAAAGGCCCACCAAGGCGACGAUCCGUAGCUGGUCUGAGAGGAUGAUCAGCCACACUGGAACUGAGACACGGUCCAGACUCCUACGGGAGGCGGCAGUGGGGAAUAUUGGACAAUGGGCGCAAGCCUGAUCCAGCCAUACCGCGUGGGUGAAGAAGGCCUUCGGGUUGUAAAGACCUUUUGUUGGGAAAGAAAAGCAGCAGGUUAAUACCCCGCUGUUCUGACGGUACCCAAAGAAUAAGCACCGGCUAACUUCGUG